CAAAGGCUUGGUCCUGACUUUACUAUCAGCUCUAACUAAACUUACACAUGCAAGUAUCCGCACCCCCGUGAGAAUGCCCUAACAGUUUCCUGCCAGGAAACAAGGAGCCGGUAUCAGGCACAUCUUAUUAAGCCCAUGACGCCUUGCUAAGCCACGCCCUCAAGGGUAUUCAGCAGUGAUAAACAUUAAGCUAUGAGUGAAAACUUGACUUAGCCAAGGUUAAGAGGGUCGGUAAAACUCGUGCCAGCCACCGCGGUUAUACGAGAGACCCAAGUUGAUAGACUGCGGCGUAAAGAGUGGUUAAGCCAAUAAUUUAAACUAAAGCCGAAGGCCCUCAGAGCUGUUAUACGCUUCCGAAGGUAUGAAGUUCAAUCACGAAAGUGGCUUUAUCAUAGCUGAACCCACGUAAGCUAUGACACAAACUGGGAUUAGAUACCCCCCUAUGCAUAGCCCUAAACAUUGAUAGCACAGCACAUUUGCUUUCCGCCCGGGAACUACGAGCAUUAGCUUGAAACCCAAAGGACUUGGCGGUGCCUUAGACCCCCCUAGAGGAGCCUGUUCUAUAACCGAUCCCCCCCGUUAAACCUCACCCUUCCUGGUUUAUUCCGCCUAUAUACCGCCGUCGCCAGCUUACCCUGUGAAGGACUCAUAGUAAGCAUAAUUGGCCUAGCCCAAAACGUCAGGUCGAGGUGUAGUGUAUGGAAGGGGAAGAAAUGGGCUACAUUCAUUGAAACAGUGAACACGAAUGCUGUACUGCAACGUACUUUUGAAGGAGGAUUUAGCAGUAAGCAGGAAACAGAGCGUCCAGCUGAAGUCGGCUCUAAAGCGCGCACACACCG
rnacentral:ncRNA from 1 species